rnacentral:misc_RNA from 1 species
UCCCCGUUGCCGAGGCAGUCUGGCUAGAAAUAUCCAACUAGCCACGAGGGUUGCGCUCGUUGAGGGACUUAACCCGACAUCUCACGACACGAGCUGACGACGGCCAUGCAUCACCUGUCACCGAGUUCCUUGCGGCACAUCCCUGUUUCCAGGGACUUCUCGGGAUGUCAAGCCUUGGUAAGGUUCUUCGCGUAGCCUCGAAUUAAACCACACGCUCCACCGCUUGUGCGGGUCCCCGUCAAUUCCUUUGAGUUUUAGCCUUGCGGCCGUACUCCCCAGGCGGGAUGCUUAACGCGUUAGCUUCGCUACUGAUCGGGUCGAUACGACCAACAGCUAGCAUCCAUCGUUUACGGCGUGGACUAC